CCCAUAAAUAAUAAAAGGUCCAUUUAGUUUCCUUAACUUUAUUUAAAGUAUCAGUUUGGUCCUUUCUGUUAAUUUAAUUCAAAAAAGCGUUAAGUUUAGGGACUAAAGUAAUACUAAUUAAAUAAGUUAAGGGACCAAACUAAUACUAAUUAAAUAAGUUAAGAGACCAAAAUUUAACGUUCUUUUGAAUUAAAUUGACAUAAAGGACCAAACAGAUACUUUAAAUAAAGUUAAGGGACCUAAACGGAACUUUUAUUACUUAUGGGA
rfam:Medicago truncatula strain A17 chromosome 8, whole genome shotgun sequence.